rnacentral:rRNA from 1 species
CGAUUCUGUUCUUAACUGAAUGGAGUAGCUAUCUCUCGGGGUAGUCAAUUGGUUAUUAUAUCUCCACUAAUAAGCAGAGAGGAGUAAAAUCUUCAAAGUAAGUUAUGUGGGUCAAGGUAUAAUGAUUAAUUGGAGUUCUAGUUCAUUUACUUUGAGAAAAUUAGAGUGUUUAAAGCAGCCUCUUGGGGCACUGAAUACAUUAGCAUGGGAUAAUAAAAUAGGAUCUUCACAAUAUAUUUUAUUGGUUUAAAUUGGAUAUGAAGAUAAUGAUUAAUAGGGACAGUUGGGGGUAUUCAUAUUGGGUGGUUAGCGGUGAAAUGCUCGGAUCCAUUCAAGAUGAACUAAAGCGAAAGCAUUUACCAAGGAUGUUUUCAUUAAUCAAGAACGAAAGUUAAGGGAUCGAAGACGAUUAGAUACCGUCGUAGUCUUAACUAUAAACUAUGCCGACCAGGG